GUCUACGGCCACACCACCCUGAACGCGCCUGAUCGCGUCCGAUCUGGAAAGCUAAGCAGGGUCGGGCCUGGUUAGUACUUGGAUGGGAGAGUAGGGUAGUGGUUACUGGAGGCU
rnacentral:rRNA from 1 species